rnacentral:rRNA from 1 species
UACGUAGGGUGCAAGCGUUGUCCGGAAUUAUUGGGCGUAAAGAGCUCGUAGGCGGUCUGUCGCGUCGGAUGUGAAAAUCCAGGGCUCAACCCUGGACCUGCAUUCGAUACGGGCAGACUAGAGUUCGGCAGGGGAGACUGGAAUUCCUGGUGUAGCGGUGAAAUGCGCAGAUAUCAGGAGGAACACCGGUGGCGAAGGCGGGUCUCUGGGCCGAUACUGACGCU